rnacentral:rRNA from 14 species
CUUGACGACCAUAGAGCAUUGGAACCACCUGAUCCCAUCCCGAACUCAGCAGUGAAACGAUGCAUCGCCGAUGGUAG